AUACUCACUUUGUAAAUGGCUCAGUACGAUACUCAAUAAUAUCUAUGAUACACACGUCAACCUUUCCUCAAUUCUCCAACAAUGGUAUACCUGCUCUUCUAGCUUGGAUCUACAGUCUGCCGAGGAAAUCUUAGAAUGAAGUUCUUUCAACACGUUAGCUAGAAUGAAAUCUGGAGCCCUUAUUCAGGAGAUUUUUUAGGAGAGUAUAAAUGGCUCUUCCUAGAACAGAGAAUCCUACCAUGACUGGGUCAGUGGAUACAACUACAUUAUCUUCUUUGCAAGAACCAACAUCCUGGCAGGACAUCGUCACGGUGACCCUUUGGAUGAUUACCAUGGUGAUAGGUAUCAGUGUUAACAGCUUACUUCUCCUGGCCAUUGUCGUCUCCAGGAGUUUACAAACAAGGAGCAAUAUUCUUGUCAUCAAUGUCCUUCUCGCGGACCUUGUGAUUUGUUUCAUGUUGCCUCUCCAGUCUGCAACGCUUCUUAUUGUAGACAUUGAGGGCGCACUCUCGAUUAUGUGUGCUGGUGUUGCAACCCUUGCCAAUAUGUGUCUCUGGAUCAGGAUGGCAACGUUUGGAGUGUUGUCUCACCAGCAGUGGAAGCAACACACAAAGUCCAGAUCUUUUUGGGCCAGUAUCCACAAGCGAAAAAGACCUUUCAUAGUCGCAUCCCUCUUAUGGAUGUGUAUUUUCUUAAUUAUUUACAUUCCAAAUAUUACUACAAAUUUCAUUCAUCUAGGAUAUUCAAGCAGGACAAAUCUUUGUGUUUUGGAAGUUUGUGAUCCUUAUAGUCGAUUUAUUAUCAGGAUUGUAAUGCCCAUUCUCUGGCUACUCACAGUACUAUUCUCUUCACGGAAUUUCUACAAAAUCCAUCUAUUUGAGAAAAAUCGUCGGAAAAAUAAAUUUGUUCCUCGGAAAAAGAGAAGACCUAACCCCCGAAGAGACCCGGGAGCAUACAUGACCCCUAGUUCACCUUUUGAAGAAGUUCAGCAAGCUCGUCCAAUGACAAGUUUAAAAAAGGAUAAAGGAAAACACAAGAAGCAGUGUAAUCAAUCACAAAUAAACCAGGAAAAAGUUUCAAAAUUACCAAAGUUUUUAGAUUUCUCGAGUGGAAAGAGAAACAAGAAUAAAUCAGACAAUGCAACAAUGCUUGGAAAUAAAAGAAAAAUUUCUUUGCCUCACAAGACAGAUGAAAUAAAAACAAUCAGUAAAGAAUUGAAAAUGAUAUUCUCUCUGGAGCAAGAGGACACCAUCAAGCCUUCCGUUAUACGUAAAAACAGUGAAAACAGAGAGGGCUUAGCCAAGGGUGAUGUUGACAAUGAAAAGAACGAAAACCAGAAUAGAAAUAGCGGGAAAAUGAGAGUCAAGUUAGGUAGCUUUGCGAAAAGGUUGCACUGGAAGAAAGCAAGCACAGAGACAAUGAUUUUGAGCGAUACCAGUCAUGAAGAUGUUGAUGAUGUUAAUAAUGUGAGUGAUUAUGAUUGUGACGAUGAUGAUGGCACGAUUAAUGGAAUGGCCCAAACUGGAGAAACUUAUGAUUUCACAUCAAGGAAUGUGUAUUUAUCUCCGAAUUAUAAUGAAAACAAAAAACGUACGCCUGAUGGGAAGUACUCGGUACCAUACUCUUACGAACUCCAACCGAUAGGAUCUUCAAUGAUAUCCUCUAAAGGCAUUUCUUGGAGAAAAUCAUCACCUUGCGCAUUCGCGUUAUCAGUUUCUCAGCUACUCUCCAUCCUAACCCUCCUCUAUCUUGUACUUAUUAUUCCUAAACUAAUCUGUAUGAUUAUCUGUAUAGAUGCACCAUUCCUCUAUAAAAUGGCAGAGACACUUUAUUUUUCCAUUAGUGCCCUAAACCCACUCCUUAUUGCUCUGAAGCAUAGGAAAUUUAAUCAGGUUAUUGAUUGUCUGGUGUACAGAAAAUGGACAUCCAUACCAGAGCCAUCCUAUUUUUUAGUAAGACUUUGCAAAAUAGAGAAAAAUAUCAGUGAUUGUGGUGAUUGCCAGCUUUGAUUCUUGCUUGAAGACAACGGUUACAUAAACACAGCCUUAUUUUUGUACACAUGUAGUUGCACAUAUCUAGGACUACAUAAAUUGAACAUGAAUCUACUAGCUUGAAAGUUGAGGAAGCACUAGCUGUGUUCAAAUUGUCAUCAGCGCUAUAAAUACAAGACAUGUUUUAUAUCCUGUGGUAAAACUGCAAAGUUUAAAAUUUUCUAUCGUAUCAUUCACCACAUAGGAAGUAUAUGUACAACAAUGAAACCAAUUAAUAUUAAAAUAAACUAAAAUCUGAUUUUUGGGGGUGAUUUAGUAAUCGAAAUCGACGGGCAAUAUGAAACAUGGAAUAUUGUUCAGUUUUGUUACAUUUAUUGUCCUAAAAGUAUCACUCGAGUAAAGAUAAUGUGAUAGAUAGAUAGAUAGAUAAAUAGUUUAUUAAUAAAAAUCGAGAUAUCAACGCGGCUAAGGCCAAAUUGCGAUGUAUUUACAAGGUAAUAAUGACACAAUAAUAUUAACAAUAACACAGAUAAUUGCAAUGUAAACAAUACUGAUAAAAUAUGUCUUUGAAAUUACUUGUGUUGUGGAGUUUUUGAAUGGAAUAAUAACUGGAAAGUAAAUUGUGUGUCUGGGAAAUGACUAUACAGUGCGUAUCAAAAAAAAGUUUACAUUUUGAAAAGCCCUGAAAAUUAAAACAUAUACAAUAUGUGGGUAAUUUUUUCACAUAUAAUCUUGGGUUUGGGUCUCAUCUAUCCAAUGAAAGUAAAAGUUUUGACAGAAUGUUACACUUGAGUGAGCACUGUCCAUUUCUGUAAAGCUCGCAGAAAUGCUAGUUUUUACGCUGUGUCAAGGGGAAAGGGCGAAAUCAAACUUACCCUGCGAAAUAUUUCUCAUACUUUUACCUUGCAAUUUUAGUCAAUUAAAAUAAAACGGAUACAUUUAAGCAUUUUGUAACAAUUUUGCCACCAAAAUUGAAAUUUCAUCACUUAGUAAGCGCCACCUUUACCCUUUUUUGUGCCAGCUGGAUUUGAGGACAUAACUGAAUCUGAACAAAAGUUUAUAUCAGACAUCUCCAGCAUUUUUUCACUAAGUUUUUAUUAUUUAAAGUGGGUUAACAUUUCAUUUUUAUUUAAUACUUGUUUCUCCACACUUUUCCCAAGCUUGACAAUGAUUAACAAAAUGAAAAUGAAGCCAUUUCAUGUGAAUCACAGCUCAGUGUAAAGCAAAUAUCGUCACGAUGGCCUCGGUGUGUGGGGGAGUGGGGUGGGGCGCAAUGCACUCUUCGAAGUGUUUUGGGCAAGGAAACAAGUUAAAAAAGGUGAAAGAUAUCUUUAAAUCAAUUUUACUAGCUAAAUUCCACGUGUUCUUCAUGAGUAAGCAUAGGCGGCGGAAGCGGGGGGACGUGUCCCCCCUAAAUUUUAGGUGGGGGGGGGGGACGAUCCCCCCUAAAUUUUUAGUUGAUAACCUUUUUUUUGGUUGCUUUUUUGUGGUUCCGCCGCCAAUGUGAGUAAGGUCUACUUUUAUUCACAUAUUAACUAUUUCAAAGUUCUGCGCAAAUCAUUUUUCACUAACUUUUCAAAAGUAGGUGGUGCUCACUCAAGCGGAAAUAUUUUCGACAUUUAUAUCAUUUGCUUAAGUGGGUCUGUACCAAUUUUCAAAUGUGGAAAAAUCUUCAGGGCAAUUCCAUAGGUUGGUGAACAUGAGCUCAAUGUGUCUUUGUACAUAUAGCCCAUCUGAACCGUAACGUGAGUAACCACUUUAUCUGCACCCCUAGUAAAAACCAUGUGUUCUUUAUUUUUUAAAUUAUAUACAAAUUUGUCUCCCUAAUAUACUUCUUUGAAAUGGAUAUAAUCAACUUUCAUAAAAGCCUUGCAUGAGGACA